UACGGAGGGUGCAAGCGUUGUCCGGAUUUAUUGGGUUUAAAGGGUGCGUAGGCGGCCCGUUAAGUCAGUGGUGAAAUCCCGCAGCUCAACUGCGGAACUGCCAUUGAUACUGGCGGGCUUGAGUACAGACGAGGUAGGCGGAAUUUAUGGUGUAGCGGUGAAAUGCAUAGAUACCAUAAAGAACACCGAUAGCGAAGGCA
rnacentral:rRNA from 1 species